GAGCUGGACUUGGGGAGAUAGCAGAUGCAAGUCCACAGGAAGGAGGGUCCUGGGUGUGGUGGAGUCUCAUCGGGCUUCUUGGCUGGCUGGCGGAGGACAAGCUGCAGGAUGCUCCGGUGAGCUGCUGCACAGGAAGGAGUCAGACCCUCUAUUUAAGACAACAAAGACUUCCGGUCUCACCUGAACUGCAAUCUGAAGUGUUCAUCGCUCUACCACUGCUCCAGUCUGUCUCCAGAUUGCUUACCUAACACACUCCAGAACUGAUUACGCAUGCUACGUUCUUCUGCACGUGUGUUAUAUAUAUCAUUGUUUCUUCUACAUGAUUGCAAUCCCCUGUCUGAAACCAUGCCAAGUGCAGAAGCAAUGCCUGGAAAAUCUUUUUGAAAUGGAUGAACGGCAGCUCCUGAUUUCAAAUCACUCGCUAGCUGCCAGACAUUGGAAGUGGAGAUGCUUCCGUUCUCGCAGGUCACGGCCUGCACUCACAGAGGCUAGGAGAGGAGAGGAGAGGGUUCCUUGCCUGGAGGAGUACUGGGAAGAGCUAGAGAGCCCCCAGUUCAUCUGGCUCGGGAGUUGAGGUGCGGGGGCAGCGAGGGUGCCUAUCGGAUUCCUCCCUCAGAGCGACAGGCGGCCCUGCGCCCAGUCCCGCCCGCCCCUCCGGCCGCCUCUGCCGCCGCGCGCCGCAGCAGCGCCGCCUUCUCUGCGCAGUCGGUGUCUCGGCGUUGCUGGCUUCACACUUUAAUUCCUGCCCUGAGGGGACCUUUUGAAACCGGAGAAAAGGUGGGACUUGGCUCUUCUGCCAUGGGCAAGCAGAACAGCAAGCUGCGGCCAGAGAUGCUGCAGGACCUGCGAGAGAACACGGAGUUCUCUGAGCUGGAGCUACAGGAGUGGUACAAGGGCUUCCUGAAGGACUGCCCCACUGGCAUCCUCAACGUGGAUGAGUUCAAGAAGAUCUACGCCAACUUCUUCCCCUAUGGCGACGCCUCCAAGUUUGCCGAGCACGUCUUCCGCACCUUUGACACCAACAGCGACGGCACCAUCGACUUCCGGGAGUUCAUCAUUGCUCUGAGCGUGACCUCGCGUGGCCGCCUGGAGCAGAAGCUCAUGUGGGCCUUCAGCAUGUAUGACCUGGAUGGCAAUGGCUACAUCAGCCGGGAGGAGAUGCUAGAAAUUGUGCAGGCCAUUUACAAGAUGGUUUCGUCCGUGAUGAAAAUGCCCGAGGAUGAGUCGACCCCGGAAAAGAGGACUGAGAAAAUCUUCCGCCAAAUGGACACAAACAAUGACGGCAAGCUGUCGCUGGAGGAGUUCAUCCGCGGAGCCAAAAGCGACCCAUCCAUCGUGCGCCUGCUGCAGUGUGAUCCCAGCAGCGCCUCCCAGUUCUGAGCUGAGAGGAGCCAGCUCGCCUCCCUGCCUUCACCGGCCCUCCGGCUCUCAGCUUCCUCUCCCUCGUGUCUAUCCAGGCUGGGGGCCAGACUGGGGAUCCCUUUCUGGGGUCUGCACUGUGUGUGUGUGUGGGCCUCUGGAGAAGUGAAACCUGCAAGGAAGGGGCUAAGCAAGACAGCUGUUAGUCUCCACGGCCCAAGAGGCAGAAUCUCCCUUAGUGGGACCGAGAUAGCCCUCCGGUCAGGUUCUGUAUUCUUUAGUGAGACAGCUGGAUCAUCUUACACCCACCCACAGUCAGGAGGAUCUUCCACAACACGGGGGCAGGGGGGCGGGUAGGUCCCCUUUGGGUGGUCCUCAGCCUGGAGGGAGGUGGGGAGUCAUGCCAAGGUGAAGAGUCUUUUUGUUUGGUGGGGAGCCACGGAUGAUUUCUGGGCUGUGGGGCUUUGAAGAAGUUCCCUGAUCUACUUCCCUGCAGAAGAACACUUCUUGUCCCAGCUCUUGCUGGCUGGAGGCCAUGGUAAAACAAAACAAAACUCCCAGGAUUCCAACUGGGGGUCCCCAAACUCAACCUGCCUCUUUGCACUUAGAUAACCACAGAUUUACCCCGUCUGUACUCUGUAUUUCACCUCUCUCUCUCGUGCACUCACGCAAACACACACACACACACACACACACACACACACACACACACACACACAGAGGCCCACAGACAGAUGGGCAGAGCCCCUCCACAGCAUUCUGUGUGGGAAGGAAGCGCAGGCCCCCGGCCAAGCCCCAUGUCCCUCUGCAUGCAGCCACACGGAGCAUCUUGGUUCUUUUUAAUAACUUCAAAAUAAAGUCUUGUUUCAGUGCAUUGUA